GACGAACGCUGGCGGCGUGCUUAACACAUGCAAGUCGAACGGUGAAGGUGGAGCUUGCUCCGCCGGAUCAGUGGCGAACGGGUGAGUAACACGUGGGCAACCUGCCCCAGACUUCGGGAUAACUCCUCGAAAGAGGCGCUAAUACCGGAUACGAGUUCUGCAGGCAUCUGCGGAAUUGGAAAGUUUUUCGGUCUGGGAUGGGCCCGCGGCCUAUCAGCUUGUUGGUGAGGUAACGGCUCGCCAAGGCGACGACGGGUAGCCGGCCUGAGAGGGCGACCGGCCACACUGGGACUGAGACACGGCCCAGACUCCUACGGGAGGCAGCAGUGGGGAAUAUUGCGCAAUGGGCGAAAGCCUGACGCAGCAACGCCGCGUGCGGGAUGAAGGCCUUCGGGUUGUAAACCGCUUCCAGCAGGGAAGAAGCGAAAAUGACGGUACCUGCAGAAGAAGCACCGGCUAACUACGUGCCAGCCGCCGCCGUAA
rnacentral:rRNA from 1 species